GCCUCCGUUGCCUCAGCAGAGUCAUAGCAUUCUUCUAGUCUUUUCCAGACCAUAUUGAGGCCAAUUGCAGGGUGAUUGAUAUGAACUGACCUUAUUUGUCUCGUAUGUUCUGCCAACUCUGGUCCUAGCCACUUGGCUAAUAGAUCGAGCUCUUCAAUUCAUUUUUUUUGGUAGUUUGACUGGUUUGAAUAGCGGGUUUGUUGGUCCAGUCAGUGGUAGAGCAUUCACAGGCUAAUAGAGUUUGAUGCCAGUUGGAC